rnacentral:rRNA from 1 species
UACGGAGGGAGCUAGCGUUGUUCGGAAUUACUGGGCGUAAAGCGCACGUAGGCGGCGAUUUAAGUCAGAGGUGAAAGCCCGGGGCUCAACCCCGGAAUUGCCUUUGAGACUGGAUUGCUUGAAUCUUGGAGAGGUGAGUGGAAUUCCGAGUGUAGAGGUGAAAUUCGUAGAUAUUCGGAAGAAUACCAGUGGCGAAGGCGGCUCACUGGUCCGGUACUGACGCUGAGGUGCGAAAGCGUGGGGAGCAAACAGG